rnacentral:rRNA from 1 species
CGUUACUCCUGGUGUUAAGAAUAGCGAAUUUUUUUUAAGUUGAGUGUUUAAUUGCUUGCCGGGCGACUACGUCCGAAAGGGUAAAAGUCGAAGUACUUGGCGGUCUAGUGAUGAACCAGCCCGUGAGACUUGACGGUUAAUCCGAUAGUCCGCGUAAAUUCUACUCUUUCUUGAAUUCGACAGCUGGUGUAUGGCCGUCGCGUGUUGCCGUCAGGUAAUUGCAAGAUCCAGGGCUUCUUUUCUGACCUAACGUGGACAGAGAAAUCGUGUUUAUUUAUAAACGCCAAAAUCUACGGGCUAGUAGUGAAUGUGUGGAAUAAGUCAGGUCGUUAUGCCGUCCAUGAAGGAGGCUUAGUUGAGUCACAUUGAUUAGAUCAAGCGGAACCGAGAAGGAAGUAGCUCGGGGAAGAAGUAAUGGGUAGUAAUAAGAGAAUAAUUCGCUCUUAUGAAUCGUUGCACUCCUAGGUGUACAAAUCGCCCGUCGUCCCCAGAGUCCCGAUAUACUGGGACUGUGUGUGCCAUACUCCCUAGUA